CAGGCCCCGGCCUUCCUGGCGUGCCCCUAAAUUGUGAAGGUCUUUCUUGGAUCUUUAAGGAGUUGGAAGGGGUCUCCUCUGAGGGGCAGUCCCAUCUUGAUUGGUGGUGGCCCCAGGAGCCUCCCCAGCGGGCUCUGGUGUGGAUGCAGGUGUUAUGCGGGAGACGGUCUUCCCCUGCAGGGCUGAGGCACAUGUCUGGGUCUGAGCUGACCGAGCUGCUGGACCAGGUGGAGGGUGCCAUCCGCGACUUCUCGGAGGAGCUGGUGCAGCAGCUGGCCCGCAGGGACGAGCUGGAGUUUGAGAAGGAAGUGAAGAACUCCUUUAUCACGGUGCUUAUUGAGGUUCAGAACAAGCAGAAGGAGCAGCGAGAACUGAUGAAAAAGAGGCGGAAAGAGAAAGGGCUGAGCCUGCAGAGCAGCCGGAUAGAGAAGGGAAACCAGAUGCCUCUCAAGCGCUUCAGCAUGGAAGGCAUCUCCAACAUUCUGCAGAGUGGCAUCCGCCAGACCUUUGGCUCCUCAGGAACUGACAAACAGUAUCUGAACACAGUCAUUCCUUACGAGAAGAAAGCCUCUCCUCCCUCAGUGGAAGACCUGCAGAUGCUGACAAACAUUCUCUUUGCCAUGAAGGAGGAUAAUGAGAAGGUGCCUACUUUGCUAACGGACUACAUUUUAAAAGUGCUCUGCCCUACCUAACCUUGCCCUUUGGAGCAGCCUCGCUGCAGGAGGUCACUGAGCAAGAGUCAUUCCAUCACAGGGACUGCAUGAGACCAUGUAACCUCCGACAUGUAUUUAAACGUGUAUAGCUUAACCCGGAUUAAACACGAGCAAGCGCGCGGGGUCCUUUGCCGUUGGCUUCUAGUGCUAGUAAUCAUUGGAUGCAUGAUGGGGCAGGGCCGGUGAUGGUGCCUCCCCCUUGCUGGUGUCAGGAGAGGGGAAGGCAGCCGCUUUCACCGCUCAUUAUGUAGUCUGGCUCCAGCCCUCAAAAACAGCUUAUACUCUUAAGACUAAUUUUGAAAUAAAACC
rnacentral:sRNA from 1 species